rnacentral:misc_RNA from 1 species
AGUGUCUUGUUAUAUUGGAUGUGAUCGGGUAAUUCUUUUUUUCCUUAUACUGGCUGCGUGCGAGUUGUUAAUUUAUGGUUUGUGUGCUAUUAAUAUUAUUAACCUUUUGGCAGGAUGCGUGGCUAUUUAUGGCCUUUUUUGAUGCAUGAUUGGGUUUCUUUGUUGCUAAUUGGACAUCAUUUUUUAACUAGUGAAAGUCCUUUGGGCUGCCACGAGCUAUCUACGAUUUUACUGAAAUAUAGGCCACUAUCAUGUUCUACACGGCGUAUGGAUGAA